rnacentral:rRNA from 1 species
AUGCAAGUCGAACGAUGAAGCUUCUAGCUUGCUAGAAGUGGAUUAGUGGNGNANCGGGUGAGGAAUAUAUAGCUAAUGUGCCCCUUAGAGGGGGAUAACAGUUGGAAACGACUGCUAAUACCCCAUACUCCUUCUUGUUAUAAGACAAGUCGGGAAAGUUUUUUCGCUAAGGGAUCGGGCUAUACGGUAUCAGCUUGUUGGUGAGGUAAUGGCUCACCAAGGCUAUGACGCCUAUCUGGUCUGAGAGGAUGAUCAGACACACUGGAACUGAGACACGGUCCAGACUCCUACGGGAGGCAGCAGUGGGGAAUAUUGCACAAUGGAGGAAACUCUGAUGCAGCAACGCCGCGUGGAGGAUGACACAUUUCGGUGCGUAAACUCCUUUUAUGUGAGAAGAUAAUGACGGUAUCACAUGAAUAAGCACCGGCUAACUCCAUGCCAGCAGCCGCGGUAAUACGGAGGGUGCAAGCGUUACUCGGAAUCACUGGGCGUAAAGCGCGCGCAGGCGGCCUUUCAAGUUGGAUGUGAAAUCCUAUGGCUCAACCAUAGAACUGCAUCCAAAACUGUUAGGCUAGAGUCUGGGAGGGGAAGAUGGAAUUAGUUGUGUAGGGGUAAAAUCCGUAGAGAUAACUAGGAAUACCAAAAGCGAAGGCGAUCUUCUGGAACAGUACUGACGCUGAGGCGCGAAAGCGUGGGGAGCAAACAGGAUUAGAUACCCUGGUAGUCCACGCCCUAAACGAUGAAUGUUAGUCGUCGGGGAGCUAGUCUCUUCGGUGAUGCAGCUAACGCAUUAAACAUUCCGCCUGGGGAGUACGGUCGCAAGAUUAAAACUCAAAGGAAU